GGGCCUAUGGUUCAGUGGCAGAACGCGGCAUUCGCAUUGCCGAAACGGCGUUUCGAUUACGCCUAGGUCCA
rnacentral:tRNA from 1 species